GGAAACUCACCAGGUCCAGACACAAUAAGGAUUGACAGAUUGAUAGCUCUUUCUUGAUCUUGUGGUUGGUGGUGCAUGGCCGUUCUUAGUUGGUGGAGUGAUUUGUCUGGUUAAUUCCGAUAACGAACGAGACCUUAACCUGCUAAAUAGCCCGGUCGGCUUUGGCUGGCCGCUGGCUUCUUAGAGGGACUAUCGGCGUUUAGCCGAUGGAAGUUUGAGGCAAUAACAGGUCUGUGAUGCCCUUAGAUGUUCUGGGCCGCACGCGCGCUACACUGACAAAGCCAGCGAGUUAUCACCUUUACCGGAAGGUACGGGUAAUCUUGUGAAACUUUGUCGUGAUGGGGAUAGAGCAUUGCAAUUAUUGCUCUUCAACGAGGAAUACCUAGUAAGCGUGAGUCAUCAGCUCGCGUUGAUUACGUCCCUGCCCUUUGUACACACCGCCCGUCGCUACUACCGAUUGAAUGGCUUAGUGAGGCCUUCUGACUGGCCGCCGGGACCCAGCAAUGGGACCUGGUGGCUGGGACGUUGAACGAACUUGGUCAUUUAGAGGAAGUAA
rnacentral:rRNA from 1 species